AAAUUGAAGAGUUUGAUCAUGGCUCAGAUUGAACGCUGGCGGCAGGCCUAACACAUGCAAGUCGAACGGUAACAGGAAGCAGCUUGCUGCUUCGCUGACGAGUGGCGGACGGGUGAGUAAUGUCUGGGAAACUGCCUGAUGGAGGGGGAUAACUACUGGAAACGGUGGCUAAUACCGCAUAACGUCGCAAGACCAAAGAGGGGGACCUUCGGGCCUCUUGCCAUCAGAUGUGCCCAGAUGGGAUUAGCUAGUUGGUGAGGUAACGGCUCACCAAGGCGACGAUCCCUAGCUGGUCUGAGAGGAUGACCAGCCACACUGGAACUGAGACACGGUCCAGACUCCUACGGGAGGCAGCAGUGGGGAAUAUUGCACAAUGGGCGCAAGCCUGAUGCAGCCAUGCCGCGUGUAUGAAGAAGGCCUUCGGGUUGUAAAGUACUUUCAGCGGGGAGGAAG
rnacentral:rRNA from 1 species